CCAGCAUUGGCAGCACCGCCACCAGCACCUCCGGCCUCAGGACCAAGCCCACCUCCAGCGGGCGUUGACGGAGGCGGGUGUGCGGCUCUGGCGCAGCUGAGCCGUCGACCGCCGGAGCCAAUCCGGCAGUCCGGCAUUUCAGCUGCCGCACACUCGCCCGUCACAGGAUCAGAGGCCUCCCGAGACAGCCAUCACGAUCAGCUGGUGUAGGCCAUCCACGACAGAUGAGUGCUAUACAAGCCUGCCUCCGCCGUGCUUGGAGAGCUGUCUCACCCAACGGCCGUUUGUGCCGCCACCAAUCGGCUGCGAGUAGCACACACCGAGUGCUACUCGGGGCCGGAUGGCUGCCGUGUCUUCCCUCAGGAAAUGGUGGGCUCUGCACUACCUGAGGGGUCUCGGGCGAUAACAGAGACGCAGUCCGAUGUGGCAGCCUCCACGUGGCGGAUUGCGGGUCAUGCUAAUAGCCACACAGAGCCACACGUAAGUAUUGCACUGUAGUAUUCACCAGAUUUGAGUGUGUUGCAGGAGCCUGACAUGUGACGUCACCUGUACCGCUGUUUCCGCUUCUAAUGACGACGUGGUCAGGUGUCGGCUCUGCUGCAGUGUCCAGAGGACGCACGGGUUCUCCGACAUCAUCAUCUUGGUCGCGGUGGCGACUGUAUCCGCCAGUGGGGGUGGUAUUCAGGAGAUCACUAACCUCUCGUCCUAUUCUCCUCUCCAUGCGGUGUACUCGACAACCACAGGUUCCGGACCAGACCGGUAGGCGGCGCUAGUGUCGCUGACGUGCUCUGUCUGCGGCUCUGUGCUCCCCUCCUCUGCCCGCUGCUCCUGUUGCUCUACCCAGACCUCACAGGUGGGUCCCCCUCUUCUGGUGGUGUCUACUACACACAUUGUCAGAUGGCCGGUACAGUGAUAAGUAAUGGACAGUGCACAGUGGACCGUGGUGCAAUAUAUAUUGACGAUAAACCAGUCUGUGUUGUUUGUCACGCCGAUGUUGUUUACUAUUUAUGGCGACUCCGUUUGCUGUGUAGUGUGUGUGUCACACAUAUCAUCUAUGGUGUUUGUUGUGUGUUUGUUGUGACUCUGUUGUGUUUGUUGUCUGUUACAGGUCCGGCCCGUACCGACAUUGACUCACGACGAGUCUACUGAGUCAUACAGAGUCAUGGGGAGUCAUCCAGAGUCAACGGAUUUCAUGGGAGUGAACAUAGGUGUCGAGGAGUCCUCCGGAGUCAGCGAAGUCAUUCAGAGUCUAUAAUAGAGUCCUGGGAGUGAAAAUGAGCUGUGUUAGCGGGUUAAGACGCUGUUUAUACGUAUCCCGGCUAGGCGGGCCGUCGCUCGGUGCCCGGCGGUCGGUGCGCCGCGCCGCCCGCCCAUGUGUCACGGCUGGCCGGCUGUGCGGGUGUCUCCUGUCCGCCGGCCCGGUGAUCGGUCCGUACCACGAGGGCUGAGAGGGGACGGGCCCCGCGGCGGUCAGCAGCAGCUCAGAGAGGCCUCGGCCGGUCAGCCGACGGUCAGCGGUGUGUGUCCGACGGGUCCGACGGCGGCCUUACAGACGUGAGAACGGACCCGAGCAGCCGAGCUGAGGGCCAGCUGCCCAUUCUGAUCGGCGUGUCCUACACUUGUCAGACACUGCAGCCUAUACUGAUCUUGAAUACACUUUGUAUAUGUGAA